GACGAACACUGGCGGCGUGCUUAACACAUGCAAGUCGAACGAUGACGACCGAGCUUGCUCGGUCUGAUUAGUGGCGAACGGGUGAGUAACACGUGAGCAACCUGCCCUUCACUCUGGGAUAACCUCGGGAAAUCGGGGCUAAUACCGGAUAUGAGCUCCUGUCGCAUGGCGGGUGUUGGAAAGUUUUUCGGUGAAGGAUGGGCUCGCGGCCUAUCAGUUUGUUGGUGAGGUAGUGGCUCACCAAGGCGAUGACGGGUAGCCGGCCUGAGAGGGCGACCGGCCACACUGGGACUGAGACACGGCCCAGACUCCUACGGGAGGCAGCAGUGGGGAAUAUUGCACAAUGGGCGAAAGCCUGAUGCAGCGACGCCGCGUGAGGGAUGACGGCCUUCGGGUUGUAAACCUCUUUCAGCAGGGAAGAAGCGAAAGUGACGGUACCUGCAGAAGAAGCGCCGGCUAACUACGUG
rnacentral:rRNA from 1 species